AUGCAGGGGAGAACGGAAUUCCUGGUGGAGCGGUGGAAUGCGCAGAUAUCAGGAGGAACACCAGUGGCGAAGGCGGUUCUCUGGGCCUUUCCUGACGCUGAGGAGCGAAAGCGUGGGGAGCGAACAGGCUUAGAUACCCUGGUAGUCCACGCUGUAAACGGUGGGUACUAGGUGUGGGGUCCAUUCCACGGGUUCCGUGCCGUAGCUAACGCUUUAAGUACCCCGCCUGGGGAGUACGGCCGCAAGGCUAAAACUCAAAGGAAUUGACGGGGGCCCGCACAAGCGGCGGAUCAUGUGGAUUAAUUCGAUG
rnacentral:rRNA from 1 species